UACGUAGGGUGCGAGCGUUGUCCGGAAUUAUUGGGCGUAAAGCGCUUGUAGGCGGUUUGUCGCGUCUGCUGUGAAAAUCCGGGGCUCAACCCCGGACUUGCAGUGGGUACGGGCAGACUAGAGUGUGGUAGGGGAGACUGGAAUUCCUGGUGUAGCGGUGAAAUGCGCAGAUAUCAGGAGGAACACCGAUGGCGAAGGCAGGUCUCUGGGCCACUACUGACGCUGAGAAGCGAAAGCAUGGGGAGCGAACAGG
rnacentral:rRNA from 1 species